rnacentral:rRNA from 1 species
AUGGAAUCUACACCCUCUUCUGCAAGCUGCGAGGCCAGGAUGUUCAGAACGCCAACAAUGCCUCCAAAUUCAGGUUUCAGGUCCUCUCCAGCGACGAACUCCUGCACCACGUUGUCCACCUCGAUCAGGCUGCACCCCGGGGUCUUCUUCAUGCUCCUGCUCCUUAUUGACUUCCUCGUGCUCGCGACCUCGCUCCACCGCCUCGCCGCGGCGUACACGUUGGCCAGCAUGACUAGGUUGCCGACGUCGUCUGGUUCCAGCGCGACGAGCCGCUCGGCAGCCACCACGGCCGUGUCGACAUCGCCGUGGCUUCGGCAUGCGCUGAGCAUUGAGCCCCAUAUCUUCGCAUCGGCAGGAAAUGGCAUGUCCAGUAUGAGAUUGAGAGCACGCACGAUUUGUCCUGACCGACCGAGGAGGUCGACGAUGCAGCCAUAG